rnacentral:rRNA from 1 species
UAAGUGGGAAACGAUGUGGGAAGGCCCAGACAGCCAGGAUGUUGGCUUAGAAGCAGCCAUCAUUUAAAGAAAGCGUAAUAGCUCACUGGUCGAGUCGGCCUGCGCGGAAGAUGUAACGGGGCUAAACUGUGCACCGAAGCUGCGGCAGCGAACGUAUCACUUAAAACGAUUUCAGUGACGAUUGACGGAGCGAAGCGACGUCAAAGCGUUUACAAAGUCGAGUCGGUUUAAGGAUACGUUCGUUGGGUAGGGGAGCGUUCUGUAAGCCUGUGAAGGUGUGCUGUGAGGCAUGCUGGAGGUAUCAGAAGUGCGAAUGCUGACAUAAGUAACGAUAAAGCGGGUGAAAAGCCCGCUCGCCGGAAGACCAA